GAUUUAUUGUUGUUGGGCAUUCUCUAUCGGGACUUUGAUGAUAAGUUGUGAGCAACCUAGUCAAGGUGGCAUUAAUUUGUCUUGCAUUUGAUAUAUGCAUUUCUUGUUGAAAUAAUAAGGGUCCUUAAUAAAGUUUGUGGAGUAGUCGUGAACCUGACUGACAAUAACAUCUGGAUAAAUUUUGGAAAUAAGCUUUAAAAGAACUGAAAAAUCACAUGAGUGUACCUGGAUCUCAUUGAAAUACUGGUGUAACUUUACUGGCGAAGUUUGCCAAUAUCUUUAUGUUGAUCAUUUUGUUGAAGAGGGACAAAAUGCUUCAAACAUCAUUUGUGGCCCUUAACUAAAUUGCUUUAGAAAGAGAGUAAAAGACAAAUUCACAUUGAAC
rnacentral:misc_RNA from 1 species